rnacentral:tRNA from 1 species
GCGACCGUAGUGCAGUGGUAGAGCAUCCGUCUACGGUGCGCAAGGUUGUGGGUUCAACCCCCGGCCGGUCACA